CACGUAGGGUGCAAGCGUUUGUCCGGAAUCAUUGGGCGUAAAGAGCUCGUAGGCGGCUUAGUAAGUCGGGUGUGAAAACUCUAGGCUCAACCUAGAGACGCCACCCGAUACUGCUAUAGCUAGAAUCCAGUAGGGGGAGUGUGGAAUUCCUGGUGUAGCGGUGAAAUGCGCAGAUAUCAGGAGGAACACCGGUGGCGAAGGCGGGUCUCUGGGCAACAACUGACGCUGGAGGAGCGAAAGCGUGGGGAGCGAACAGG
rnacentral:rRNA from 1 species